CCUACGGGUGGCAGCAGUGGGGAAUAUUGCACAAUGGGGGAAACCCUGAUGCAGCGACGCCGCGUGAGUGAAGAAGUAAUUCGUUAUGUAAAGCUCUAUCAGCAGGGAAGAAAAUGACGGUACCUGAGUAAGAAGCCCCGGCUAACUACGUGCCAGCAGCCGCGGUAAUACGUAUGGGGCAAGCGUUAUCCGGAUUUACUGGGUGGAAAGGGAGCGUAGACGGCAGUGCAAGUCUGGAGUGAAAGGCGGAGGCUCAACCCCCGGACUGCUCUGGAAACUGUACGGCUGGAGUGCAGGAGAGGUAAGUGGAAUUCCUAGUGGAGCGGUGAAAUGCGUAGAUAUUAGGAGGAACACCAGUGGCGAAGGCGGCUUACUGGACUGUAACUGACGUUGAGGCUCGAAAGCGUGGGGAGCAAACAGGAUUAGAUACCCCAGUAGUC
rnacentral:rRNA from 1 species